UCUUGUUCCAGCCACCUGGCACUGUCCCCUCUCACCUUCCUGUGUUCUUGGUGCACCUAGGUGUGGAUUAUUCAUACCUGGGUGCAAAUCCCCCCUGCAGCUGGUGUGUGAGCUCAGGAAGGUAUGGGGCCAUUGUGAGCCUCAGUCCAUUCCUGUGGGUUGUAGGAAUUCCAGUGGGAAGGAGGGGUUUUGCAUAUAGUAGGCCUCCAAGGCCUGUAUGUAAGCCUGGCCUGGUCAUUUGCUGGCCUUAAAGGCCCUCAGCUUCCAAGGCAUUUUCUCCCCCAGCUGCAACGGAGCCCUUGCUUGCUGUGAGGACCUCACAGGGUCUGGCUCACCUGCAACGGCACAUGGAAGCACUCUGUCCCUGUCUGCCAAAGCCACAAGGGAGACGAGCCGCUUGUCUUUCUCAGGCCAGACUUCAGACAUGGGUGAGCAAGGAAGACAGAAGACAAAGCAUACUGGAACUUCAGAGGGACACAUGUUGAAACUACUUAUGGUCUCUUUAUGGACAAAACAGAGGAGAAAAUGUUAAUGUGUCCAGGAGCCCCUGCCCCGCUGGCUAGCACAGCCUGAUCCUUGCAGACUUGGAGCUCGGCACAGACCCAGGAGCCCCGGGAGCACCCUGGAAUCUCCUGACACAUUCCUUGGCCUGGCCUUGUGCCCUGCCCUGGCAGGCCCAGUCUGGCAGAGUGGCUGCAUCCUUCCAUCUGUCUUGAUGCUGGAAACAAGGAGCUCAGCUCCCCUGAAGCCACCACCUGCCUCUUGGGGGUCUGAGGCACUUUGGCCAGGGCUAGCCCCGGUGUCAGCUUCCUGGGAGCCGGGGCUGGGUGGGCUGACAUUCAGACAUGUCUGGCUCCUGUUCUGAAGGGUAACACCUGUUUCAGAGGAGGAGGACCCUCCUGUGGGGAGCUGGGCUUGUGGUGGGUGGGGUGGGUGGAGGCUCAUUACUGCUCAUCCAUCCUGUACAGCAGCCCCAGAAAAUAUUUACUUGUUUUUAUAUAUUACUGUUUUUUAUUCUCUAUGUCUUUUCAUUUUCUUUGUAGUUUUU